GAGGGGCAGCAGGGUGUAGCAAUACAUCGCUGGCGACCGGCAAGCGGGUGCGGAACACGUACGCAACCUUCCUUCAAGUGGGGAAUAGCCCGGGGAAACCCGGAUUAAUACCCCGUAAUAUUAUGAGGCGGCAUCACCUUAUAAUUAUAGUUCCGACGCUUGAAGAUGGGCGUGCGCCUGAUUAGGUAGUUGGCGGGGUAACGGCCCACCAAGCCUACGAUCAGUAACUGGUGUGAGAGCACGACCAGUCACACGGGCACUGAGACACGGGCCCGACUCCUACGGGAGGCAGCAGUAAGGAAUAUUGGUCAAUGGACGCAAGUCUGAACCAGCCAUGCCGCGUGGAGGAUGAAGGUCCUCUGGAUUGUAAACUUCUUUUAUCUGGGAAGAAACCCAUAUUUUCUAGUGUGGUUGACGGUACCAGAUGAAUAAGCACCGGCUAACUCCGUGCCAGCAGCCGCGGUAAUACGGAGGGUGCAAGCGUUAUCCGGAUUCACUGGGUUUAAAGGGUGCGUAGGCGGGUUGAUAAGUCCGUGGUGAAAUCUCC
rnacentral:rRNA from 1 species